AGGAGUAUCUACUGAUGUCCUUGUAGGGAUCCUCCUGGGCUUCAAAGUGCUGCUGGUGGUUGGUGUCUCUGCCCUCUAUGUCCACAGGAAGUGGAGACCCUGACUGCGUGUCAGGAAGAGGACAGCAUGGAACACAGGAGACAUGCAGGGAAUACUUCUUGAAUGAUGAGCAGAUAAUUAAAUGAGAACGUGUUUCUGCAGCCCCAUCCUUCCUCCCCUGCUGCACGCCACCCUCCAUCCCUGCAGUCUCCCUCCUUCCAGGAAACACUCAGCCUAAGGAAAAAAAGAUUGACUGAAAGUGUCACUGACUCUUCUUCAAAUGCCUCUCCCUGGAGCAGACUUGCUGCCCCCAGGCCCCUAGUGCCACUUCUCACAGUCUGUGAUGCCUCCAGACCUGGGUCUUCAUUCGUGGUCCUCUCAGACUCACACACAGAACCCCACAUGGUCACCUGCACUGUUAUCUCUCACUCAUGACUUAAAUGUGGUUGGAG